CCUUGUACACACCGCCCGUCAAGCCAUGGAAGCCGGGAGUACCCUAAGUCAUUUAUCUAACCCGCAAGGGAGGAUGAUGCCCAAGGUAAGACCGGUGACUGGGGCU
rnacentral:rRNA from 1 species